CCUCUCUAAUUUUUCUCUUCUUCCUUUCUCUUCAAAUUCAACACAUCCUUUGUUUCUAUAUCUUCUCUUCGCCCGACCGACCGUAGCCAUGGCUGCGACGAUGGUGAGCUCGGCUGGUGCUUUGCUUGCGAUGCUUAACGAGACUCACCCGCAACUUAAGCAACACGCUUUGUAUAACCUUAACAAAUUUGUGGAUCAGUUCUGGCCGGAGAUCUCCACCAGUGUGCCAUUGAUAGAGAGCUUAUAUGAAGAUGAGGAGUU
rnacentral:misc_RNA from 1 species